CAGCAGCCGCGGUAAUACGAAGGGGGCUAGCGUUGCUCGGAAUGACUGGGCGUAAAGGGCGCGUAGGCGGUUUAUACAGUCAGAUGUGAAAUUCCUGGGCUCAACCUGGGGACUGCAUUUGACACGUAUGGACUUGAGUGGAGAAGAGGGUCGUGGAAUUUCCAGUGUAGAGGUGAAAUUCGUAGAUAUUGGAAAGAACACCGGUGGCGAAGGCGGCGACCUGGUCUUUAACUGACGCUGAGGCGCGAAAGCGUGGGGAGCAAACAGGAUUAGAGACCCCAGUAGUCCCUGUCUCUUAUAC
rnacentral:rRNA from 1 species